rnacentral:ncRNA from 2 species
UGAAACCGUUGGGGGUGGAGCUGUGAUGGCUUCUGAGAGAGUCCCCGGAACCUGAUCAGGAUAAAGCCUGCGUAGGAAAACGGAUCAUACAAAAG